rnacentral:rRNA from 1 species
UACGUAGGGUGCAAGCGUUAAUCGGAAUUACUGGGCGUAAAGCGUGCGCAGGCGGUUAUGCAAGACAGAUGUGAAAUCCCCGGGCUCAACCUGGGAACUGCAUUUGUGACUGCAUGGCUAGAGUACGGUAGAGGGGGAUGGAAUUCCGCGUGUAGCAGUGAAAUGCGUAGAUAUGCGGAGGAACACCGAUGGCGAAGGCAAUCCCCUGGACCUGUACCGACGCUCAUGCACGAAAGCGUGGGGAGCAAACAGG